UUGGCUUAUGGCAGUGCAGUGCCGCAGGGAAGCCGUUAAGUUUGCCGCCUGGGAAGUACGUACGCAAGUAUGAAACUUAAAGGAAUUGGCGGGGGAGCACCACAAGGGGUGAAGCCUGCGGUUCAAUUGGAGUCAACGCCAGAAAUCUUACCCGAGGAGACAGCAGAAUGAAGGUCAAGCUGAAGACUUUACCAGACAAGCUGAGAGGAGGUGCAUGGC
rnacentral:rRNA from 1 species